rnacentral:lncRNA from 1 species
UUUACUUAGAAUAAAAAUUAAAUACAAAAAGAAACAUCUCUCCUGCUCUCUCCUGUCCCGGCCCUCUCCUGAAUCGCCUCCCUCCGCUCCGCUCUUCUCUUUCACUCAUCUCUCUCGCACCUAUUACUCUUCUUCUUCGCUCAUCUCUCUUGCACCAACUGCUCUUCUGUCUCCCAUCUCCUGCCCCUUUCUGAAACCCUAAAUUGAUUAGGACAAUUAUUUGAGCAAAACCCUAAAACUGAUUAGAGUUUUAAUCGAUUCUGUUAAAGCUUUUAAUUGAGGUAAAGUACUGAUUAUAUAUGUUUCGAUUAUGUUUGAUUUGUAUUGAUUUAUGGGGAUAAUUAAUGUGUUUGGUUUUUUGUAAUGAUAGAGAAGAAGAAUUUACUCUAAUGGUUUGGCAAGCUAGUGUUUCUUCAUCUCAGGUUGCGAAAGAGGAUAAAUAUCAGAUUGUUAGAGCAGAAAAAUGAAGAUUCUGGUAGGAUAUUGUUAUUCUCUGUCCAUACACUGACAAUAAGUUCAUCUCUGUCUAUCAAUUUAAAGGUCCAAUUGGUUUUUAUUCAUUUGAAUUGUCCUAGUUUAUGCCAUGAUAUUUCAGUUUCUAUGCUUAUAUUGUCUUGCACGUGCUAUUAUAAUCUUCUAGUAGUUUGUGUGUCAUAG